UUGGAGGGCAAGUCUGGUGCCAGCAGCCGCGGUAAUUCCAGCUCCAAUAGCGUAUAUUAAAGUUGUUGCAGUUAAAAAGCUCGUAGUUGAAUUUCGGGGAUCUACCGUUGGUCGGGCUUUGUCUGUACUGGUGUGUAGAAUUUCUACCUUCUGGGGAACCAUCAUGCUAUUAAUUUAGCGUGGUGGGAAACCAGGACCUUUACCUUGAAAAAAUUAGUGUGUUCAAAGCAGGCUUAUGUCUGAAUACAUUAGCGUGGAAUAAUAGAAUAGGACGGUGGUCCUGUUUUGUUGGUUUCUGAAUCACCGUAAUGAUUAAUAGGGAUAGUUGGGGGCAUUAGUAUUCAAUUGUCAGAGGUGAAAUUCUUGGAUUUAUUGAAGACUAACUUCUGCGAAAGCAUUUGCCAAGGAUGUUUUCAUUAAUCAAGAACGAAAGUUAGGGGAUCGAAGACGAUCAGAUACCGUCGUAGUCUUAACCAUAAACUAUGCCGACUAGGGAUCGGACGAUGUUAAUUUUUCUUGACUCGUUCGGCGCCUUACGGGAAAC
rnacentral:rRNA from 1 species